GGGUCUUCGGGGGUGCGCGUCUUCCGGCCGACCCUCCUCCUGCUCCUGCUAUGUUGCUGACCCACGCUGCUGGCGCGAGUGGUCUUGCCCCUCGGGACCCGAGGAGGGAGGAGUUCUUCGUUCCCUUCAGCUUUCAGGCCCCAGGGAGAACCUUUCAGUCACAGGCAGCCUAGGUUCAAGAAGAAGAAAACCUGAGGCCUCGGCUCACCCUGACAGGGAAGUGGCGUGGGGACCGCUAAAGGACUGCGAGGUUCCACUGCCCAGGGCUGUCUAACCGCUUGCUUUAGACUGUGGGUGCACGGAGUCCGUCACUCAGCCUCCAGGACCAGGGCUCCUGAUGUGUGAGCGCGUUCCAUUCCCCCAUUCCCACAAGAACCCUCGCUCCCGCGAAGGCCUCCUGAGCUUGCGCGACUCCGCUGGGCCUUGGAGAGCUCUGGGGAGGGAGGCGCCUCUCCAGCACCCAGAUCCCCAGCCUGCAGCGCCUCGGGGCCAGUGUGGCCCGGAAUGGCAGGAUCUAGGGAAGACCCCGUCCUUGCCUCUCCACGGUUUCUGGUGGCUGCUGGCAAUCCUGGGCCUUUGCUGGCUUGUAGCUGCAUCACUCCAAUCUCUGCCUCCACCGUCACAUGACCUCCUUCCCUGUGUGUCUGC
rnacentral:lncRNA from 10 species